rnacentral:rRNA from 1 species
UACUAAAAUUGUUGCGGUUAAAAAGCUCGAUGUUGCAUUUGUGCGCCGCGCUGUCGGUUGCACCGCUCGCGCGUGAUACUGACACGUUUGCGGAGCAUAUCGUCGGUGAGCCUUCGGUAAAACGGAGGUUCAAUAUCAAAAUCCUAUCGCGGUGCUCUUCAGUGAGUGUNNNGGUGGGCCGACAAUUUNCUUUGAACAAAUUAGAGUGCUUAAGCGGGCUCAAAAUGCUGCUUGUAUGUCUAGUGCAUGGAAUAAUAGAUAUGAUCUCGGUUCUAUUUUGUUGGUUUUCGGAACUCCGAGGUAAUGAUUAAUAGGGAUAACUGGGGGCAUUCGUAUUGCGACGUUAGAGGUGAAAUUCUUGGAUCGUCGCAAGACGGACAUCAGCGAAAGCAUUUGCCAAAGGUGUUUUCAUCAAUCAAGAACGAAAGUUAGAGGUUCGAAGGCGAUUAGAUACCGCCCUAGUUCUAACCAUAAAUGAUGCCAGCCAGCGAUCNGCCGAUGUUACUACAAUGGCUCGGCGGGCASSUUCCG